rnacentral:rRNA from 1 species
UACGGAAGGGGCGAGCGUUGUUCGGAAUCAUUGGGCGUAAAGGGUGCGUAGGCGGGUCUUUAAGUCAGGGGUGAAAUCCUGGAGCUCAACUCCAGAACUGCCUUUGAUACUGAGGAUCUUGAGUUCGGGAGAGGUGAGUGGAACUGCGAGUGUAGAGGUGAAAUUCGUAGAUAUUCGCAAGAACACCAGUGGCGAAGGCGGCUCACUGGCCCGAUACUGACGCUGAGGCACGAAAGCGUGGGGAGCAAACAGG